GACGAACGCUGGCGGCGUGCCUAAUACAUGCAAGUUGAGCGCUGAAGGUUGGUACUUGUACCAACUGGAUGAGCAGCGAACGGGUGAGUAACGCGUGGGGAAUCUGCCUUUGAGCGGGGGACAACAUUUGGAAACGAAUGCUAAUACCGCAUAAAAACUUUAAACACAAGUUUUAAGUUUGAAAGAUGCAAUUGCAUCACUCAAAGAUGAUCCCGCGUUGUAUUAGCUAGUAGGUGAGGUAAAGGCUCACCAAGGCGAUGAUACAUAGCCGACCUGAGAGGGUGAUCGGCCACAUUGGGACUGAGACACGGCCCAAACUCCUACGGGAGGCAGCAGUAGGGAAUCUUCGGCAAUGGACGAAAGUCUGACCGAGCAACGCCGCGUGAGUGAAGAAGGUUUUCGGAUCGUAAAACUCUGUUGGUAGAGAAGAACGUUGGUGAGAGUGGAAAGCUCAUCAAGUGACGGUAACUACCCAGAAAGGGACGGCUAACUACGUG
rnacentral:rRNA from 1 species